rnacentral:rRNA from 1 species
GAUGAACGCUGGCGGCGUGCCUAAUACAUGCAAGUCGAGCGAACAGACGAGGAGCUUGCUCCUCUGACGUUAGCGGCGGACGGGUGAGUAACACGUGGAUAACCUACCUAUAAGACUGGGAUAACUUCGGGAAACCGGAGCUAAUACCGGAUAAUAUAUUGAACCGCAUGGUUCAAUAGUGAAAGACGGUUUUGCUGUCACUUAUAGAUGGAUCCGCGCCGCAUUAGCUAGUUGGUAAGGUAACGGCUUACCAAGGCGACGAUGCGUAGCCGACCUGAGAGGGUGAUCGGCCACACUGGAACUGAGACACGGUCCAGACUCCUACGGGAGGCAGCAGUAGGGAAUCUUCCGCAAUGGGCGAAAGCCUGACGGAGCAACGCCGCGUGAGUGAUGAAGGUCUUCGGAUCGUAAAACUCUGUUAUUAGGGAAGAACAAAUGUGUAAGUAACUAUGCACGUCUUAACGGUACCUAAUCAGAAAGCCACGGCUAACUACGUG